ACGUAGGUGGCAAGCGUUGUCCGGAAUUAUUGGGCGUAAAGGGCGCGCAGGCGGCCUGUCAAGUCUGUCUUAAAAGUGCGGGGCUCAACCCCGUGAUGGGACGGAAACUGGCAGGCUGGAGUGUCGGAGAGGAAAGCAGAAUUCCUAGUGUAGCGGUGAAAUGCGUAGAUAUUAGGAGGAAUACCAGUGGCGAAAGCGGCUUUCUGGACGACAACUGACGCUGAGGCGCGAAAGCCAGGGGAGCAAACGG
rnacentral:rRNA from 1 species